rnacentral:rRNA from 1 species
CGAGCGGCGGACGGGUGAGUAAUGUCUGGGAAACUGCCUGAUGGAGGGGGAUAACUACUGGAAACGGUAGCUAAUACCGCAUAACGUCGCAAGACCAAAGAGGGGGACCUUCGGGCCUCUUGCCAUCAGAUGUGCCCAGAUGGGAUUAGCUAGUAGGUGGGGUAACGGCUCACCUAGGCGACGAUCCCUAGCUGGUCUGAGAGGAUGACCAGCCACACUGGAACUGAGACACGGUCCAGACUCCUACGGGAGGCAGCAGUGGGGAAUAUUGCACAAUGGGCGCAAGCCUGAUGCAGCCAUGCCGCGUGUAUGAAGAAGGCCUUCGGGUUGUAAAGUACUUUCAGCGGGGAGGAAGGUGUUGAGGUUAAUAACCUCAGCAAUUGACGUUACCCGCAGAAGAAGCACCGGCUAACUCCGUGCCAGCAGCCGCGGUAAUACGGAGGGUGCAAGCGUUAAUCGGAAUUACUGGGCGUAAAGCGCACGCAGGCGGUCUGUCAAGUCGGAUGUGAAAUCCCCGGGCUCAACCUGGGAACUGCAUUCGAAACUGGCAGGCUAGAGUCUUGUAGAGGGGGGUAGAAUUCCAG